rnacentral:tRNA from 1 species
GGGAAGAUGGCUCAGUGGUAGAGCAUUUGCCUUGCAUGCAUGAGGCCCUGGGUUCAAUUCCCCAGUACCA